rnacentral:rRNA from 1 species
AUUGAACGCUGGCGGCAGGCCUAACACAUGCAAGUCGAGCGGAUGAAGGGAGCUUGCUCCUGGAUUCAGCGGCGGACGGGUGAGUAAUGCCUAGGAAUCUGCCUGGUAGUGGGGGAUAACGUCCGGAAACGGGCGCUAAUACCGCAUACGUCCUGAGGGAGAAAGUGGGGGAUCUUCGGACCUCACGCUAUCAGAUGAGCCUAGGUCGGAUUAGCUAGGUGGUGGGGUAACGGCCUACCAAGGCGACGAUCCGUAACUGGUCUGAGAGGAUGAUCAGUCACACUGUAACUGAGACACGGUCCAGACUCCUACGGGAGGCAGCAGUGGGGAAUAUUGGACGAUGGGCGAAAGCCUGAUCCAGCCAUGCCGCGUGUGUGAAGAAGGUCUUCGGAUUGUAAAGCACUUUAAGUUGGGAGGAAGGACAGUAAGUUAAUACCUUGCUGUUUUGACGUUACCAACAGAAUAAGCACCGGCUAACUUCGUG